GGAUCGUAAAACUCUGUUGUUAGAGAAGAACACGAGUGAGAGUAAACUGUUCAUUCGAUGACGGUAUCUAACCAGGCAAGUCACGGCUAACUAACGUGCCAGCAGCCGCGGUAAUACGUAGGUGGCAAGCGUUGUCCGGAUUUAUUGGGCGUAAAGGGAACGCAGGCGGUCUUUUAAGUCUGAUGUGAAAGCCUUCGGCUUAACCGGAGUAGUGCAUUGGAAACUGGAAGACUUGAGUGCAGAAGAGGAGAGUGGAACUCCAUGUGUAGCGGUGAAAUGCGUAGAUAUAUGGAAGAACACCAGUGGCGAAAGCGGCUCUCUGGUCUGUAACUGACGCUGAGGUUCGAAAGCGUGGGUAGCAAACAGGAUUAGAUACCCUGGUAGUCCACGCCGUAAACGAUGAAUGCUAGGUGUUGGGAGGGUUUCCGCCCUUCAGUGCCGCAGCUAACGCAAUAAGCAUUCCGCCUGGGGAGUACGACCGCAAGGUUGAAACUCAAAGGAAUUGACGGGGGCCCGCACAAGCGGUGGAGCAUG
rnacentral:rRNA from 1 species